UACAGAGGUCCCAAGCGUUGUUCGGAAUCACUGGGCGUAAAGGGUGCGUAGGCGGCGCGGAAAGUCAGGGGUGAAAUCCCGGAGCUCAACUCCGGAACUGCCUUUGAUACUCCCGCGCUUGAGAACUGGAGGGGAGACCGGAAUUCACGGUGGAGCAGUGAAAUGCGUGGAUAUUGUGAGGAACACUAGUGGCGAAGGCGGGUCUCUGGACAGUAUCUGACGCUGAGGCACGAAGGCCAGGGGAGCGAACGGG
rnacentral:rRNA from 1 species